UACGAAGGGGGCUAGCGUUGCUCGGAAUCACUGGGCGUAAAGCGCACGUAGGCGGAUUGCUAAGUCAGGGGUGAAAUCCUGGAGCUCAACUCCAGAACUGCCUUUGAUACUGAAGAUCUUGAGUCCGGGAGAGGUGAGUGGAACUGCGAGUGUAGAGGUGAAAUUCGUAGAUAUUCGCAAGAACACCAGUGGCGAAGGCGGCUCACUGGCCCGGUACUGACGCUGAGGCACGAAAGCGUGGGGAGCAACAGG
rnacentral:rRNA from 1 species